UGUGCGUGUGUGUGGUCGAUCACACAAGGCAGAGGGAAAGGGGUAAACCCUAAUUCUCAAGAAAUCUCCAAAUUGAAAAGGGAAUUGAAGGUUUUUAGGAUGCAUGUAUCAAGAUUAUCGAUCUCCUAAGUGUUCUUCACUAUCAAGAACGUGUCAAGGAGAGGUCAAGCAUAGGAGGAUAACGGGUCAAGAUAAGGCAAGGUGACAAAUACACUUAAUGGAGUACUCGAGGUAAGUGAAUUUCGAUUCACUUUUUAGUAGGUUUAAUAGAUUUUAAUACUUAUGUUCACGAAACAUCAUGAAAGAACAUGUAAUAAUCAGAAGUACAAAGCCAAUAAUGCCUCAUUAUUGAGGAAGGUUGUAUUAAGCCGAAAGUAAAUUGGUGGGUUUAAACGGGUCGAAUUUUAUGUGCAUAUGUUGCGUAAUGUAAUGAAAUUCGUUAUGGUUAAGACCUUGGGUAGGAAUUUUUAGUCAUUAUGUAAGGGGAACACUUCCCGGACCAUUAGGAACAAGUUUUAUAUGAUUCGGUUGUCGGUUAGUUAAUGAACGGAUUGUUUCAUGUUAGUGUAGGAAAUUUUAUAAGUAUAUGUGUAUAGGAACCCAAAGGGCACGUGGGUUGAAUCAUAGAUUGUUUAUACUAUGUAAAGUUGUGAAAGUGACAUUCCGGCAUAAACCUACAUGUAAAAGAAGCUUGUGUAUAUAUUCGUGAUUAAUUGAUUGUGCGUAGGAAGGAACAUUGGCAUGUAUGAAGGUACGCAUGUAUAUGUAAGUGUGUAUAUAUAUAUAUAUAUGUAUGUAUGUAUGAUAAUAAGUACGUAGGUGUGAAUGUAUGUGUGAAUGAAUGUUCAAUGCUUAAGACAUAUGCAUGAACGUUAUCAAAGUGUUCGAGUAUUAAUGGUUACUAAUGAUGUGCGUUGAGUUGGAAUGUAAUGUAGGUAUGGGAUCGUUGGCUUCAUGAAGAAAUGGAGCUGGAUUUGGAUAAGAGUAUUUAAGAAAGCGCUUGGACAAUUCCACGACUACUUUAUAGAAUGCUCUACGAAAUUCUAAUAUAUAGUUUAAUGUUGUAUGGUAUGUUAAUGACUAAUGGUUUGGUUGUACGUGGUGUCCACAGGUAUCACUUGGGUUUUCUCUACAUUUAUUGAAGUGAAGCGGACUUAGUUCGAGUUGAGAGCAAGGAUUGUACGGGGUAGAAUGGUCACAUAGUGUAACUCAUAUAGAUUUUGAAGUAUUUGAACCUUCAUGUUUUUGAUAUGUCUAUUAAAGAACGAAAUUUUUGGGCUCUU
rnacentral:lncRNA from 1 species